CCCAUCAUAUAUAUAUACACGAUUUUAUAAAAGAAAAAGAGGAAAGAAAAUUAUUUUUACCUCAACAAAAAAGUUGACAAGCAUUCCCAAGUAAAGAAGAACAAUUUGUCUUCCAAACAUUCCAUCAAUCAAAGCUUGGAUUAAGAAGGAAAAUGAAGGUUUGUUUUCAUUAGUCAAAACACCAACACCCUUGUGUUGUUUGUU
rnacentral:lncRNA from 1 species